CCCAGACUCCUACGGGAGGCAGCAGUGGGGGAUAUUGCACAAUGGGGGGAACCCUGAUGCAGCGACGCCGCGUGGAGGAAGAAGUAUCUCGGUAUGUAAACUCCUAUCAGCAGGGAAGAAAGAAGACGGUACCUGACUAAGAAGCCCCGGCUAACUACGUGCCAGCAGCCGCGGUAAUACGUAGGGGGCAAGCGUUAUCCGGAUUCACUGGGUGUAAAGGGAGCGUAGACGGCGACGCAAGUCUGGAGUGAAAGCCCGGGGCCCAACCCCGGGACUGCUCUGGAAACUGCGGCGCUGGAGUACGGGAGGGGCAGGCGGAAUUCCUGGUGUAGCGGUGAAAUGCGUAGAUAUCAGGAGGAACACCGGCGGCGAAGGCGGCCUGCUGGACCGUGACUGACGUUGAGGCUCGAGAGCGUGGGGAGCAAACAGGAUUAGAUACCCCCGUAC
rnacentral:rRNA from 1 species